UACCAGCACCCCGAGUGGUCGGGACGUUUUAUUGGGCCUAAAGCAUCCGUAGCCGGUUCUACAAGUCUUCCGUUAAAUCCACCUGCUUAACAGAUGGGCUGCGGAAGAUACUAUAGAGCUAGGAGGCGGGAGAGGCAAGCGGUACUCGAUGGGUAGGGUAAAAUCCGUUGAUCCAUUGAAGACCACCAGUGGCGAAGGCGGCUUGCCAGAACGCGCUCGACGGUGAGGGAUGAAAGCUGGGGGAGCAAACCGG
rnacentral:rRNA from 1 species